ACUACUUUUUCCUGGUUUUUUGGAUUUUGCACCUGAGUCUGAUAUCGUAGAUGGACCAUUUUUGCAUCAGAUUACUACUUUUUCCUGGUUUUUUGGAUUUUGCACCUGAGUCUGAUAUCGUAGAUGGACCAUUUUUGCAUCAGAUUGUUUUUUGGAUUUUUCACCUGAGCCUGACAUCUUAGAUGGACCAUUUUCGCAUCAGAUUACUACUUUUUCCUGUUUUUUUGGAUUUUGCACCUGAGUCUGACAUCGUACAUGGACCAUUUUCGCAUCAGAUUGUUUUUUGGAUUUUUCACCUGAGCCUGACAUCUUAGAUGGACCAUUUUCGCAUCAGAUUACUACUUUUUCCUGGUUUUUUGGAUUUUGCACCUGAGUCUGACAUCGUGGAUGGACCAUUUUUGCAUCAGAUUACUACUUUUUCCUGGUUUUUUGGAUUUUGCACCUGAGCCUGACAUCGUAGAUGGACAAUUUUUGCAUCAGAUUGCCCCCAAAACUGCAAUUUUUUGUUCAAAGUACCAAUUUUUUCUGGUUUUCUGGAUUUUCCACCUGAGCCUGACAUCGUAGAAGGACCAUUUUUGCAUCAGAUUGGUUUUAGGGAUUUUGCACCUGAGUCUGACCUCGUAGAUGGACCAUUCUUGCAUCAGAUUGUAGGGAUUUUGCACCUGAAUCCGACAUCGUAGAAGGACCAUUGUUUAUGCUUGUGAGUUUUCUUUAAUAAAGAAUAUUUUUUAAGUA